rnacentral:rRNA from 1 species
UACGGGGGGGGCAAGCGUUGUUCGGAAUUACUGGGCGUAAAGGGCUCGUAGGCGGCCAACUAAGUCGGACGUGAAAUCCCCAGGCUCAACCUGGGAACUGCGUCCGAUACUGGAUGGCUUGAAUCCGGGAGAGGGAUGCAGAAUUCCAGGUGUAGCGGUGAAAUGCGCAGAUAUCAGGAGGAACACCAAUGGCGAAGGCAGCUCGCUGGGACGUGACUGACGCUGAGACGCGAAAGCGUGGGGAGCAAACAGG